AAAAUUCCGAAGAAGAGUUCUUUGAAGAAUUGUUUAGCCAACGAGAUCUCAGCCCACUGAGGACCCCUCCUGAAAAAGAAGGCCCAAGACAUCUUAGCCCACUUAGCUUAGCGCAUCUUCUUGGUUCCUUCUGGAGCUGGUUGAUAGGAAAAAUAAAGAGCAGAAAAGGAGAGGAGUAAGUCGGCAAAAGAAAGAGAAAACGGAAAAGGAGGGGAGUGAGUCGGCGCUUUUCGUGCGAUUCGGAGGCCUCGACAAGCUAGAUUAAUACCGUUUCGAAGCGCUCGCUGCCAACAAAUAGGAGGAGAGCAAUAUCAGUGGAGGAAUCUUAGGAGUUUGGAUUUUGGGUAUAAGUUGAGAUAAUUAUAGAACUUUAGUUCUGCAACCAGCUUAUUAUUCUUAUGAGAUAUUAAUGGAUAUAUAUUUUGAUAACAAGUUAAUGUUGGUUACGCUUAU